AAAAAAAAGAAGUUCUUGAGUUUCUCAUCCAUCCCCCUGCCUCCAGGCUCAUUUUAUGCAGUGCUGACGGGUGAGCCCAGUAGUUCACACAACUUAAGCAACUGCUCUCCCAGCUGACUCCCAGUAGUACUUUAAAGUUAGCAGAGGAAUGGUUUCCAGCAGGCCCCGGUAACACAAGCACUUAUUUCCAGCAUUCAAGACACUGAGUUUGAGGCCAGCCUGGACUAUAAAACAGACGAAACAAAACUUUAAACUAAAGGGCUUUCAUAUAAAGGUUUCUUUUAUUGACCCCCUGGGAACAAAUAAAACCUUCAUUUAAAAAAAUGGUUUUUUGUUUUGUUUUGUUUUGUUUUAAACCAUAUUAUUUAUUACUCCAGUGUGUCUUCCUGCCUGUGUAAGGGCAUGCAUGCUUCAGCAUGUGGGUGGAGGUCAGAGGACAACUCGUAGACCGACUUCACUUUCCACCUUUACAUGCCUUUUGGAGAUGGAGAGGUGGCCGGGCUGGCACAGCGAGUACCCCUUAUCCACUGAGUCACCUCACUGGCCAUGAGUUGUUCCUUAUAAAAGACAUUUUUGUGCAGAGCUAUGGUAACAUUGUCUAGGCUCAGAAAUGAUUAGGACUCUUAAUUUGAAGCACUGGUAGCACUUGGAAACUCAGAGGAGUUUGUCUUCCCCUUCUUUCCCUCAGUCAUCAGCUGUUACCAAAGGUUGUGACAAAAAUUGGCAAGUGUGGUUCUGCAGACACUCUUCUUGAUUUGAGAGUUGCCAUAUGCUCUCCCUUUUACAAGUUAUAUUUAUUUUUAAGUAUCGUUUGCCGCUAUUUAACAAUAUUAAGGGGAAUCUGUACUAAAUACCAGAUUGCUGCUGGCAAGUUGAAACUCUGCUACCCAAAUCUUAAAUCUCCAUUUACUCGGAUGAGAGGACAACCCAGGUUCUUGUGUACAAGACAUUACUUAGGCUCAUGGGCUUUCAGAUUAGAAUUUGCUCUUUCAAGCAUCUGCUUCCACCGGCUUGGUUCCCCAGUGACACUGUAACAUAGCUUCCAUCCAGGUACUUGCGCAGAUUGCAGUAGAAUUUGAGGAAGGAGUACCUGAGAUGCUUCACGGAGGGGAGAUGGUGCUGAAGCCCCCUCUGAGCAGGAGAAGGCUGGGAAGGGAUGCUGGCUAAAGGAGACAGUGAAGCAGAGGCCCUAGGCAACUCAGGCAUGGUGGCACUUCCAGAAAGGAAGGUAGGUUGUUUUUUGUUGAAGUAUAAGCAUUAGUGGGGAAGGAUGUUAGGAAAUGAAGCCAGACUGGUAUCCAUGGGCCAGGUGGUGGAGAACCUUGCAUGUCUUCCAUUUGGCAGAUACUUAUUGGAUAGCUUGUGAACCAGGUACUGCUGUAGACACAUAAUGGUCAUAAUGGGAAGAGAUAGAUGAUUAUUAAUAAUAUCCUAUGAGUGCAUAUAAGCUACAGUAUAAUGACCAGUGGUAAGAGGAAGUUUUGAGGUCAAUAAAAAUGGGACCAUUUUAGGGGACCAGGAAAGGUUGGUUGAAGAACCAGUAGGGUGAAUGACCUCCAGUGUUCAGGCCUGAAGCGAUAUGCAAGUGACCUGAGGUUUGAGCUGGAGAGACAGACAGCUCAGUGGUUAAGUGUUCAACAUAUAUUGCUCUUGCAAAGUCUCUGGAGGUGUUCAGGUCUCAGCAACCAUGUUAGGUCACAUCCAAGUGCAUUUGAUGUGUCUAUCCUCCAUGGGUACCUGCAUUCAUGUGCACAUGCACAUACACAUACAUUCACACACACACACAUGUGUACUCAUACAUACACAUGCAUAAUUUUUAAAAACUUGUAAAAGCCCUAAAGUUAGACUGGCUCUUGCCUGUUUAAGGAAAUCUUAAGAGUUAAGUGUGUCUGAGUAUCACGGAGGGAGAGUGUUGUGUCCGGCCAGCAGACCACAACCUGGGUUCUAGCCUGGAAAGGCAUUUUGGAAACCUGGAAGAGAAGAGGGGCUAGGUGGCAAGAUGGCUCCGCAGGUUCUAGCAGUGGGCGUGGCAGAACGAAUGAGCAGGAAGCUCCACCCCUGAGCAAGCAGGUUUCAGGCUGGGGGAGGGGAGACUACAGGAGAGGAUUAGAAUAUAGAGUCUAGAAAACUAAGUAAGGAUUCGGAGGUGAAGUGGGGAAUGACUGGAGAGUUUGGGGUGGAGGGAAGGAUAAUCUAUUGUGUGGUUUUGAAAGGAUGCAUUGUAGUGGACAGAAAGCCAAGAAACCAGUGAGGGAGUUAUUGCAGUAAUGGUGGUAAGAAGUGGCAGCUUGGACCAGGGUGGCUGCAGUGUGUGGGAGCUUACUGAGAAAAGGAAGUGUUUGCCAUCUAUGAUAAGCAUCCAUUGGAAGAUUCUGAUCCAUAGGACUGGGGAGAUAGCUCAGUGGUUAUUAGCAGUGGCUGCUCUUCCGGAGGACCUGGGGUUGAUUCCCAGCAGCUGCAUGUCAUUUCACAACUGUGUAACUCCAGUUCCAGGGAAUCCAGCACCCACUUUUGGCCUCUAAAGGCACCAGGCAUGCACAUAGCAUGUAGAUAUACUUGUAGAUAGAUAAGUGCUGAUACACAAAAAUAAAAGUUAAAUAAACCUUUUUAAAAGUCUGAUCCAUGGGAUGACAGAAUUUGUGUGUU
ensembl:sense_intronic Gm43465 predicted gene 43465